UUACAGAGUAUUAAAACACUCCUGUAUAAACCAUUUGUGAACCUAUACCUUACGUUGCCUCGGCGGUCUUACCCUACAGCUUACCCUGUAGCGGGCGGACCGCCGGUGGAAAACCAAACUAUGUUUUUCUUUAGCAUCUGAGAGUCUUAUGAAAAUAAGUCAAAACCUUUAACAACGGAUCUCUUGGUUCUGGCAUCGAUGAAGAACGCAGCGAAAUGCGAUAAGUAAUGUGAAUUGCAGAAUUCAGUGAAUCAUCGAAUCUUUGAACGCACAUUGCGCCCCCCAGCAUUCUGGAGGGCAUGCCUGUUCGAGCGUCAUUAGUACCACUCAAGACCUAGUCUUGGCGUUGGGAGACUACCCGGGAGCUACCAUGUAGCUGUUACCCUGUAGCUCCUCAAAUUCACCGGCGGAGUGACGGUUCUACCUCUGAGCGCAGUAAUAUAUCUCUCGCUUCUGUAGGUGCCGUGGCCCUCGCCGCUAAACCCCCAACUUUUACUGGGUUGACCUCGGAUCAGGUAGGAAUACCCGCUGAACUUAAGCAUAUCAAUAAGCGGAGGAAAAGAAACCAACAGGGAUUCCCCUAGUAACGGCGAGUGAAGCGGGAACAGCUCAAAUUUGAAAGCUGACUUUCGGG
rnacentral:rRNA from 1 species